rnacentral:rRNA from 1 species
AUUGAACGCUGGCGGCAGGCCUAACACAUGCAAGUCGAACGAGUGGCGGACGGGGGAGUAAGGUCUGGGAAACUGCCUGAUGGAGGGGGAUAACUAAUGGAAACGGUAGCUAAUACCGCAUACCAUCAGAUGUGCCCAGAUGGGAUUAGCUUGUUGGGGGGGUAAAGGCUCACAAAGGCGACGAGCCCUAGCUGGUCUGAGAGGAUGACCAGCCACACUAGAACUGAGACACGGUCCAGACUCAUACGGGAGGCAGCAGGGGGGUAUAUUGCACAAUGGGCGCAAGCCUGAUGCAGCCAUGCCGCGUGUAUGAAGAAGGCCUUCGGGUUGUAAAGUACUUUCAGCGGGGAGGCGUUACCCGCAGAAGAAGCACCGGCUAACUCCGUGCCAGCAGCCGCGGUAAUAC